UCAAAUAAUAUUAUUUGAAUAGUUAUAAUUCUUUGUCAAAAAUCAAGCCAAAUAACACUUUACCAAUAACCAAAAGAUAUAACUUUUGAUUAAUUACACACUUUCAUUUAUAGUUAUUGGAACACUAUAAAAAUUUGAAAAUGUUCCAACAUGAAUUAAGCUAGCACAAACAAAACAACUACGCCUCCGUAAUCUUCUCCUUCCUUUUGGCCUUAGACGAAUCAACCACUUCCUUUGCUACAAACCAUAAUCAAAAUAAUAAAAUAAUGUUAGAGAAAUAUAAUCAAACCUCAAAUCCUUCUAAAACUAUUAGUGAUAUGCAAAUUGAUAUAGUGAAAUAUUUUUUCACUUUUUUUGACAACUCAAGAGAACUCCAAUCUAACCCAUUUGAAAUCUAAAUCUAACCUCAAAAUGAAGUUUAAAAACUCCUAAACACUCAAAAUCGUUAGCAACACUAGCUCCUAAGCUCUCUCUUUCUUUAAAACUCUCUAAGGACUCAACCAAGGCAUCUUUAGAGAACUCUAUCAAAACUGUUAGUUUAGCAAAAACUUAAUUGAAAUAUAGAACUAAAGAUGAAAUGAAGGGAUGAUUUAAUUGAUUGACAAAACAACCCUUAUAUACAAGUCCCAAGUAACAACCUCAACAAGAAAUAAAUUCAAAUUGCUACUAACAAGCUAAAAACUCCUACUCCUACUAACAAGCUAACAAAUCCCCCUAAGACUUAGUCUUAUUUUUUAAAAAUUAGUUGCAGCCUUGAGACACUAACAUUCUCCUCCUAACUCAAGUGCUGCAGAGACCAAGUUUAUUCUAAAGAAACUCAAAAUGACUAACAUGAAAAAUCUAGUAAAAAUAUUCGUCAUCUGAUCUCUGAAAACCAGUUUCUUCAAUAUUCGCCUUCUAUAAAUUCCUCAUUGAUUAGUGUAGCUUCAAGAGUAGCCUCUAAUUGUUUCCUAGCAUGCAAUGCCAUCUAAAUCAAAAUUCCAUAAUUCAAAAUCAUCACAAGCUACUCCAGAAAAAUCAUGAGAGUGGCCAGAGUGCUUUCCCUUCUUCCAAGGUCUUGUGUUGUCACUAUACUUGUAAUUAAUACCAUUUAUAGUUUGAUUGACAAAUCUUCUUGCCGCUAAUAAUUCCUUUUUCAAUUUUUUAUUUUGCACAGAAAGCUCAAAUGUCAAUUCUUUUGCAUAUGAAGCUUUUUCAGUCGGCUUUUGAUUUUUUAAACAUAACCCACUAUUCUCUUCUAAAAGUUGCACAUUACUCUUGAUUUCCUGAGAUAGAUUAUUUUUCCGUAGCUUAUCAACAUGUUCUUCAAAUAUUUUAUGUGCAAAAGAUGAUCAUUUAUCAAAGAGAGAUGUCACUUACUGCUCUAAGAGAGUUACCUUUGUAUGCAACUCCUCAUUCUCAAAACACUUGAUUUGCAGUUUUUCUUGCAUGAUACGGUUAUCUGUCGAUUUUAUCUCAAGCUCAAAACUCUUUUCACUAUAUUGUGAUGUCAUUCCUUCUUGACACUUGGAUGCCACUUGCUCCUCCUCAAAUGGAUUCAAUGAGAAACUCUUCUUCUGCAUCUUGAUCUAAAACAAUUCAUUGCCACUAGAGCCAAGGAUCAGACACAUUCCCUCUUCGAACAUCACCUUGAAUCUCUUCUCUACCGAUUGUCCCACACUAAACAAGUUUUGAUCAAUCUCAGGUACAAACAGAACAUCUGAAAUCAACUUAGUUCCAACACAGCUCUCUAUUGCUACUAUGCCUCUUCCCUUCACUUCUAGGUAUUCUCCAUUUCCUAUCCUUACUUUCGACUUCAAUGACCUGUCAAGGUUUUUAAACAGCUUCUGGUCAUAAGUUAUGUGAUUGGUACAACUACUAUCAACUAACCAACUGUCAAAUAAAAUGCUUGGUGAGAAGCAAGAGACGACAAACAAAUGGUCCUCUUCUUCUCUAACUACAGCAUGUGCUCCACCUUGCUGCUGAUUUCUCAGUUCCUUGUAGAACCUCUCAAUGUGCCCCAUCAAGUUACACCUUCUGCAUUUCACAUCUGGCCUUCUCCAACACCUGAAAUUAGGAUGAUUCUGUUUUCCACAAUACUUACAUGAAGAAUACUUAUUAUAAUUUUCAGUACUAUUACCUUUUGUAACAGUUUUUGAACUACUGUUGUAAUCACUCUUCUUCCCAUUCCACUUUUGUUCCUCUCCUUUUUCGCCUUGCUGUAUCUUAGCCUUUAAUGCUCCUUCUAUGCUUCUUUAUAUGCUUCCUUCCUGCCUCAUUAGCUUCCUCUGUUAUUGUGCUUGUAAAGCACUGAUCAACUCAAUUACUCUCAAUUGAGUCAAGUCCUUAGUGUUCUCAAAUGAAGCAAUAGUUGCUUCAUAUUUCUUAGGCACAGAGACAAGUAUCUUCUGCACCAGUCUAGAAUCAGAGAGAUCAGUCCCAAGAACUCUUACCUUGUUGGCAAUAUCUAUCAGCUUGUCUGAGUAUUCUUUGAUUGACUCAGGCUCCUUCAUUUGUAGCCUCUCGAAUUCUUUGAUCAAGUUCAACACCUUCAUGCUCUUGAUCCUCUCAUCUCCUUGAUACUCAGCUUUGAGGUAGUCCCAUAUCUCCUUCACUGAUCCAAAAGCCAUAAUUCUAUUGAAUAUGGCUGGUGAAAUCGAAACAUAAAGACAAGACUUUACCUUAGCCUUCUUGGUGGUUUUCUCUUUGUGCAUUUUGAUCUGGUUCAUAGUUGAAUUAUUUAGAAGUGGAGUCACCUCGUAGUCUUCCUUGAUAGCUUCCCAAUAAUCACAACCCUCCAUGUAUGCUUGCAUUCUCACGGCCCAUGCUUGAUAAUUCUCUCCAUCAAACAUAGAUGGGGCUAAGAUGGACAGGUUACUCGAUCUCGAUUCUAUUUCCCUCAAAAACCUCUCAAAUGUAUCUCUCAAAUUUUCUCUAAGAACUCUUACGAAACUUUUCUCACAAGCCCUUCAAGAAAAAUAGCUCUCGAUACCACUGUUAGUUUAGCAAAGACUUAAUUGAAAUAUAGAACUAAAGAUGAAAUGAAGGGAACAUUUUAAUUGAUUAACAAAACAACCCUUAUAUACAAGUCCCAAGUAACAAUCUCAACAAGAAAUAAAUUCAAAAUGCUACUAACAAGCUAACAACUCCUACUCCUACUAACAAGCUAACAAAUCCCCCUAAGACUUAGUCUUAUUUUUUAAAAAUUAGUUGCAGCCUUGAGAUACUAACAAAAACUAAGAUCAAACUUAGGAUUAAACUAUCCCACUUGAUUCUAAUCUCAAAUCUAAUAAGAAUCUAAUUUAAAAACAUAAAGAAACAAUAGAUUCAAAGCUUUCUCACUUUACCUUGAAAAAUGGUAAAAAUGAAAUAAAAAUAAAAACAAUAAUUUUCAAUGUUUAGACCUUAUAGAUUACGGUUAGAAAUCAUUUUAUCUUGCAGGAAAAUCAAAGAAUGAUCAAAGAAAUCAAAAGAAAACUCUACUCCAAAAUCCCUUCCAAAAUUGGCAAUAUGAUCGAUAGAGAUGGUCGCACUAGCGACCACUAUAACGCUCCGGAUUCGACCGAACGUCCAAGUAUUGUUUGGGGUGUUACAAAACCAAACAACAACAAUUAAAUUGGUUACAUCAAAUUUUAUCAUUAGUCUUGUACUAUGUGAAAGUUGAAGAUUUAGUCUCUAUUCUUUGAUUAAAUCAUUUUUAGUUUUUAUACUUUUCAAAUUUUGAAAUGUUAGUCCUAGCUUAAAUGGUAGUCAUUAAGCCCGUCAACUAAAGUGGCUUCAUUUUUUUUUGUGAAUAUUAUGUGAAAAUAACUAGCCUAUAUGGAAUGACACGUGAUGAUAUUUUUCGUAUAAGAUUUUAGAAAUAGUAAAAUUUAACUUACCGAAUUUAAUAAUUACCUUUUGGUCAAAAUUGAAAUUUUAAAAUUUAAAAAACACAAAAACUAAAAAUAUCAAAUAAUAAUAUAAAGAUUAAGUUUGCAACUUAUAAAUAUUAUAGGGACCGAUAGUUUAAUUUAACUACAAUUUUAAUUCAAAUAAAAUCAUGAAUACUAACUGAAGUAGAAGAAAUAUGUAAUUUAUGAUUUAACUACUGUUUCUCAUAAUUGGAAAUAAUAAAAGGUAUGCCACUUGAUUUUUUUCAAUAUGUUUCAUAUAAUCUAAAUAUCAAAAUAAUGAAUGAAAAGCUAGGUGUUUUUUAAAAAAUAUUUAUAUUUGACACAUGUUUUAAAAUUUUAAUAUAAGAUAUAAUUAUUUAAAUAUAUAUAGAAGUUAAACAUACGUGCCUCGAACAUAUUUAUACAUAGUAGCUUCAAAUAAUGGAAGAUUUCAAAAUCCAUAGCGUUUAAUCCGAUAAAUUAGUCAUAUAUGUCAAAAAAAAAGUUUAUUAGUUAAAUAGAUCAUUUUUUUAGAGAAAUAUGUCAAUUUUAGAGAAUGUGUGUGAAAGUUAGACUCAUUUUCUGCACAGGUAAUAAGAAAGCCAGCUGGAUGCGCUUUCCCUUUGAAUAUCAUUUUUUUGACUUUUUAAAAAAAUAUCUAUAAUUAGUCUUUUUUUGUCAAAUGGUUAAAUAUUAGUAGUUUUGUCUUUAAGUCUCAAAUUUGAUUCCUCUUCUACUCACAUUUGUAUUUUUUAUUUCAUGUUGUUUUAAGCUUUUUAUUAUUUUUAAUUAAUUUUUUUUAAUAUAUCAACUCCUUUAGCUAAAUGGUUAAAUAAUAAUAAUUUUACCCUUGAGUUUCAAGUUCAAUUCCUCCUCUUCUAAACACAUUUGUAAUUUUUAUUUUUAAUAUCUAUUUUAUUAAUAAAUUAAAUAAUAAAUAUGUAAUUAUAUAAUAAAAAUAUAUAUUUUACAUAUAUCAUUAUGUUAAAAAUAUUUGAAAUUAAUAACCCCUUUAUAUAUACUAUAAACAUCAAUUAAUUUUUUUGAUAUAUUUUUCUUUAUAAUAUUUAUAUGUCAAAUAUUUAUUUUCUCUACGUAUAUUGUGGGUAUGGUGAUUUCUAAUAUUAUAAGAUGAAAUAGUUAUUCAAAUAUAAUUAUUUUUUUAUGUGUAAAAUAUUUCAAAUAUCAAUGUUUUUUCAUCUACAUUGUGAGUAUAAUAUUUCAAAUAUUUUUAUAUGUGAAAUAUUUUAAUUAAUUAUUUCAAAUAUCAUUAUAUUUAUAUGUGAAAUAUUUCAAAUACACAUACAAAAAUAUAUAAUACUAAAAUUUACAACACUUAUGAUAUGGAUUGAAAAUUAAAUAUUACACAUAUAAAAAUUAUAUUUACUAAAAAUAAUGAUAUUUGUAAUAAUUAUUUAAUUUUAUGAAUAAAAGAGAUAUUAAUUAAAAAGAUGAAUUAAAAAUAAAAAAUUUAAAACAAUAUAUUUAUUAAUUAAAAAUAAUAAAAAGUUUAAAACAACAUGAAAUACAAAUGUGAGUGGGAGAAGAAUCGAACCUGGGACUCAAGGACAAAACCAUUAAUAAUUUAUCAUCUGACCAAAGAUACUAAUUAUAUUAUAAAAGUAAAAAAGAAAUGCAAUUGAAAGUGGGUGCGCUUUCCUGCUAGCGCUGGACGCACUUUCACACACACUCUUCAAAAUCGGUCUAUUUCUCUAAAAAAGGUCUAUUUCUCUAAUCUAGCCCUUUUUAUUAAUCAAUAUUGCAUCAACUUUUAAACCUCAAUAUUUAAAAAAACAUCCUCCAACUUCUUUUUGGUGAAUUAUAAUAGGAGGGUAAAGCCGUAAUAGCAAUGCUACUAGUACAACUCAAACCUAAGCCACACUUGAGACAAUAAAUACCAUACCUGAGAUAAUGAAUACCUUGACCAUCAGACCAACACACGAAGUUCAAAACAUUCUCUAGUUUAAUUACAAAUUAUUUACAUUUUGAAUGAAAUUAAUUAAUAGUUUUUUCUUUUCAAAAAAUUAAAUUAAUUAAUGGUUGAAUUUUCUAGACUGCUUCAAAAUACAUCUUUUCUAUAUAAGUUAUUGUUAAUUAAAUAAUGACUUAAUAUAUAAUUUGAUAUUUAAAUUUAAUAUUUUUUAAUGUGGUAUUUUUUUUCAAUUUAAUAUUUGUAUUUGACAAAGGGUAUAUAUUUUGAUACACAAAGGUAACAAUGAUAAAAAUACUUUUAUAUAUAUAUAUAUAUUUCUUUUAUAAAUGCAUAUAUUUAUCAAUAUUGUAAAAUCUUUUAAAACAAUUUUCAAUAUUUAAGAAAGAGCUAAAUGUGAUUUUAAAACAUUUUGAGUUAUCAGAUGGGGGCACAUCCAAGUUAUAAAACAAAGGUUAAAAGUUCAUCGGCUAAAACGAAGUCUUUCGGCUUGAGAAAUAUAAAAGUUUCAUUAUUUAUUAAAAAUUUAAUCAAUUUAAAUAAAAUAUUAAAUAACAUAAAAAUAACUUCAAGGUUGUAAAGUCAACUUAAAAGCAUUUAGAAACACUUUUCGAGUGAUCGGAGGUGUUCGAGGUUAAAUACGAGCUUUAGGGAGCUCAAAACAACCAAACUAAUGUUGUAGCCUCAUAUUGAUAUCUAACCCUAGGUAUCGGUACCUAGACCACGUACUAUAACAUUUUAGCUACUGACUUGUUCGAGUGUCAUGUCUAUGAUAAGGGUACUAGACCCUGGGCCCCUGAAACUGAAAACAGGUAAAAGAAAAACACUUUAAAAACAUAACCAAACAUCAUCGUAUCAUUUCAUUAUGAAUCAAAACAUUACAAAUCAAAAUUUAAACUUAUUUAAACUCAAAUACAAAGCAUAAACACAUUCAUGGGUAGAAUAACAUUCACAAUGGUUAAGAAAACUACAAAGAAUUUAAACAUGCUAUUCCACCUUACAACCUUACAUACAAAAUAAAGCUUUGUAUACAUGCCACCUAAUUUAACUCAAAUAACAUUCAAAUAUUUAAAAUACAACCUUACAAGUUUGUUGGGUGAGCUUCUCGACAAGGCCAUAUCUACAUGUUUUAAACCAAUUAACGCAUGAGCUUUAAAAGCUCAGUAAGUAACAAGGAUAAUCAAACUUAUCCUAGUCCUUAUUAAUGUUGAGUCCUUCAAUGAAAUACCUUGCCUAGCUCAUUCAUGCCAUAUUUUAAUCAGUUUAUUAAUUUUUACCAAAUGAAGAACUCAACUUACCACUUCAAGUUUUAUUAGUUGAUUAAUUAUGGAAUUUAUAUCCAAGUUCCAUAUGAGAAAUUUGUUAGUACAAAACUUCAAUGAGGAAAAUAUCGAACACAAAAAUGCAACACAAACAACAAGUCGAAUAGAAAAUGAAGAAAUAGGACAAGACUCUAAGGCGUGUAUCAAGCCACUAUCUUUAAGGUUCUAUUCGCCCCCACCUAUACUCAGUGUGCAAAUUAGUAUCAAGCAAAUGAACCUCGAGAAUACAAUGAAUGAAGCAUGAUGAUUAUUUGUGUUUUGCACUGACUAAAAUAGUAAGCACUAAGCAAUGUAUAACAAAAAAAUCAAUUUCUAUAAAGAAUUUAUGCGACAACUCUUUAUAGAACAAUCUAAUAAUAUUAAAAAAUGGAUGAAAGGUAGAAUGAAUGUUUAGAACUUGUUGGUAUGAUUUCCAAAUGAUAUCUCAUUCCUAUUUAUAGGAAUUUUCAUGUCUCUUUAUAGAGACAUCUUUCAAUAGGUGUCUUUUCUAAAUAAUAUCUUUAAAAGAGACAUAAUUAUUCAUCUUAUAUCUCUUGAUUAAACAUAACUAUUCAAAUAAUAUUGUUUGAAUAGUCAUAAUUCUUUGUCAAUAACCAAGAAGAUAUAACUUUUGAUUAAUUACACACUUUGAUUUAUAGUUAUUAAAACACUAUAAAUAUUUAAAAAUCUUCCAACAAUCUCCCCCCAUUUUCAAAAUAUUUUACACUUUGAUAAUAAUCUUGGAAAUCAAUUUGCAUAAAUGAAGGUGUCUUACGAUUGAACCUUCACUUAGUGAAAACAUGUUAAAGUUAAUCGAAAUUGCAUGGUAGACUAAGCUUUGAACCAACUAUUCCAUUUGAUUAAUCGAACACAUCUCACACAAUGAUUUCAACACCGAUUAAUGCAUAGUAUCUGGAGACACUAUUAUGGCCAUGUGUCUGUAUCCUCUUUUCUUGAGUGCUGUCAGAGCCAAGCUCUUUAGCUUCUAGAAGUGGCCACACUUCCACUUAGAUAGGUAGAUCCCAUCAAGAGUAUUUCCGUAAUUAUAACACUUUAACAUAUGUAUGUUAUGAGUCUAUUAAUAGUAUAUUACUAAUCUUUCGCUUACCAUUAUAGGUUCUUAGCACUUUAAUCUUAGGAUUCAUUUAUUUAUAGUGCUAGCAAUCACAUACUAAUAAUGUUCUUUGUCUCAUUAAACUUAAGACUUAAAGUUAUACCAAGAUUUGAGUCAAGUUUCCAUCAUGGGUAAUUCUAAUUAAUGGGUUUGAGUCCCAUCCCUUUUGAGGUUUUGUUGACUACAUCUCUAGCAAGACUUUUUGUCAAAGAAUCCACUAAAUUUUUACUUGUCCUCACAUAAUUAAUAGUGAUCACUCCAUCAGAAAUUAAUUGUUGGACAUAGCUAUGUUUUAAUCCAAUGUGUUUAGACUUUCCAUUAUAUAAUUGGCUAUAUGCCUUUGCUAGAGUAGCCUCACUAUCACAACAGAUAGAAAUAGGUGAAAUUGUUUUAGGCCAUAAAGGUACAUCAUAAAAAAAUUUUCUUAACCAUUCUGCUUCUUUAAAUGCAACAAUUAAUGCAAGAAAUUUGGCUACCAUGGUGGAAUCAGUAAUAAAUGUUUGUUUCUUAGAACUCUAAGAAUUGGCUUAUCCACCAAGAAUGAAGAUCCAUCCACUAGUAGAAGCAUGAUCUUCCAAACUUGUAAUCAUCCGAAUACCUUUUUAAAACUGAAGGAUUUCCAUUAUAGCAUAAUCAGUAGUUAAUAGUUUUCUUUAAAUACCUAAGUAAUCUAUUCAAAGUUUUUCAAUGCAAACUACUUAGAUUACUUGAGUACUUACUCAGUUUCCCAAUAGCAUAUGUAAUAUCUGGUCUUGUACAAGUCAUUAUGUACAUAAGACAACCAAUGAGACUUGUAUAUUUCAAUUGAUCAAUUUUCCUACUAGCAUUAGAUACUAAUUUUAUUUGAGGAUCCAUGAGUGUAGAUGUUGGUAUAAAAUUAAAAAAAUCAAACUUUUUAAGCACAUUUUCAACAUAAUAUGAUUGUGACAAAGCUAUAAUGCUUUCCUCUCGAGUUAUUUUAAUCCCAAGAAUAACAUCUGCUACACCAUAUCUUUCAUAGAAAAGUUGUUUGAGAAAAUUUUCUUUGUGUUUUCUAUUUGUUCCAAAUAUGUGACAAAUUUUAGCAUGUCAUCUACAUAUAAGCAAAUUAUGAUACCUUUUUCAUUUUCAAAUUUGCUAUAUAUGCACUUAUCAGAUUCAUUUAUUUUAUAGCUAUUAGGUAAAACAACCUUAUCAAAAAUUUGGUGCCAUUGCUUUGGUGCUUGUUUAAGUCAAUAUAGAGAUUUAACAAGCUUACAUACCUUAUGCUCUUGUCCUGGAACAACAAAUCCUUCAGGUUUUUCCAUGUACACUUCGUCUUCCAAUUCACCAUUUAAAAAUGUAGUUUUAACAUCCAUUUGGUGAACACCAAAAUUAUACAUUAAGGUAAGUGAUAUUAAGAGUCUAAUCUAAACUAUCACAAUUCGGUGUACCAGAUUGAACCAUUUUUCCAUACUUAAAGAGCUUGUAUAAAAUGAAAUUUAAUUAUGUUUUUACUUAGUUUCCACUUUUAGUUCAUAAAUAAUAAGAAGUGUAAUUUGAGCCACUUAUAUGACCUUAGGGGCCAAAAUAGGCCUAAAGGAAGGCUAUCAUAUUUAGUGAGUUUGUAGGACAUCAUUCGAAGGCAUAAAAAAAGGAGACUGGCCGCGAUGUUGCAACACAAAGUGUCGAUGUUGCAACAUAGUAAGCAGAGCACUCAAAACGAGCAAACUGCCUUCAAUGUCGUGACAUAGCCAGAAGGUGUCACGACACAACCCUGUAAUCAAGCUUUAGUUCGUAAACUAACAUCAGUGUUGUGACACAAGUCAGAGGGUGUCGCGACAUCACUUUGACGAGAAGAAUUAAUGAGCCAAGGGCGUUUUGAUCUGUACAACAAACUUUAGUGCAAAAACGUCAGUCAAAUUAAGUCAACAGAUGACGACUAACCCUAAGCUUAUAAAUAGAAAACUCUAAACACUUCAUAGAAAGUUUUUAUUCAAGUUUUAGUAUACGUCUUUCAUUUAGUUUUAUUUUCAAUUUCUUUCUAGUUUAUUUUGUACUUAGGUUUCUUUUAUCAUUGUAAUUUUACUUUAGUUUCUAUUUCGUUCUUCGGGGAAUAUGAUUUGGGGAGAAAAUCGAAUCUUAGCAGGGAAUAUGAUGUUUAUUAGAUCCAUAAGGAACUAAUCUCUUUAUAGGAGAUUAGCAAGUGGAUGUGGGAGUAAUUAACUCUUAUGUAGGGCUUCUUAGCGGAUCAGCUGAUUAGGAUAGGAAGAACUUAAAACCCUAGACCUAACAACCCUAGAAAGUCAUCUAGGUGGGAAUGAACCCCAAAUUGGUAUUGUCUAUCCGUGAACACCUUACCUCAAUUCGGUCUGGACUGUGAGGUGGAGAGAUAAGUAAUUCUUGUCGACUCAUUAGUUUAGUGGAAGAUCGAGAGAUCUGGCUAGGUUAAUUACUAGUUGAUUGAAUAGAACCCAAAGUAGGAGUUAGUUUUGACCACUGAAACAAUUUAGUCUUUUUUCCUUAAAAUUGAUAAAAUCUAUAAAUUAUUCUCUUCUUGUUUUUAUGCAUUUUAAUUAUUUUUAUAAAAUAUAAUUUUUUAUCACCGUAGGAUUCAUCAUAAUAUAGUUUAAUUAAAUUACUAAUUAGAUCUAUUAACGUAGAUAUUAGAAUUAGUUUAGUUUCGCCUCCCUUGGGUACAAUUCUAUAUUACAACCUGACUGUAUACUUGAAGAAACAGUCUAACGAUUAUAUUUGGUUACAGGAUUUACACUCUAUACGGUAGUACGUCCGGAGGAGGUCAAGUUGUUGGCGUCAUUUCCGGGGAGGCAACGCCACUAGAUUAGUUUAAUUUUUAUGCUUAAUAGAAUAAUUAAGAAAAUUUUAAAUUAUAGAUACGAUUUUAAUUUUUAGUUGUUUUUAUUUUUCUUUACUAGCUUUUUUGUUUUUUCUUUGUGGUUUCAGUGCAUUACUAGAAAUAAGGGCACAUUUAUAAAGCCGGCCACUGAUCCAGAAAGAAUUGUUCGUAGAAAUCAUCAACAGCAACAACAGUAGAUGCAAAAUAACCCAUUUGCUGCUGUCAAUCCACAGCAUGAAAAUUCGUUUUUUGAUAUUCUUAAAUUGCUAGAUCGACCACCACUACCACUGUAGUUACCACUAAAACAACAAGUGGCUCAAGAGGAACACGCACUGAGAGAUUACGCAUUACCAACCCUUGACGCAAUACAGGGUAGCACCGAAAGGCCGACUAUAACCCUAAAUAAAUUUGAGAUAAAGCCGGCAAUGAUCCAGAUGAUACAAAAUAACCUGUAGUUCAAAGGGACUAUAAAGGAGGACCUGAACUAGCAUAUAAAAUGAUUUCUCCAACUUUGUGAUACUUUUAAGUCUAACAAGGUCACCGAUGAUGCUAUUCAUCUUUGGUUGUUCCCUUUCUCCUUAAUAGAUAAUGUUUUAUCUUGGUUAGACUCGCAUGCACCAGGAUCCAUCACGACAUGGAACGAACUAGCAAAUAAUUUCUUUUACAAGUUUUUUCCUAUUAGAAAAAUGAUCCAACUAAGAAGAGAGAUUUCCACAUUUAAGAAAUGAGAGGGAGAAAACUUUCAUGAAGCUUGUGAGCGAUUCAAGUCGCUGGUACAAAGAUGCCCUCACUAUGGUUUACAUGACUGGUUACCAUUGCAGAUGUUCUAUAAUGGGCUAGAUGCACAAUCAAGAUUAGGACUAGGUGGAGUCGCAGAAGGAACUUUGAUAGAUUGAACAUACGAAAAUGUGUAUGAUCUGAUAGAAAACAUGGUCAUGAAUUCCCGCCAAUGGCCAAAUGGGCGAUUUACUUAUGGCUAGAGACCAUCCACAGUUAAAGUUGUCCAUAUGGAAGACAAGUAUCAACAAAUUUUGGACAAACUUAAUUUGACCAAGUCAACAUCCAGUAGGUCCACAAUAUAUGGUGCAGAUAGACCAAUCGACCAAUAUCUUGAGAACGCAGUCAAGAUAGUAAAUUACAUUGGGAAUAGGGGUAAAAAUCCCUAUUCAAAUACUUAUAUUCCUGGUUAGGGAGAUCACCCAAAUUAAAGAUGGAGUGGCAAUCAAAUAGGAGGUAACGGUCUUAACCUAGUUAAACAAAAUAUUACUUACCAACCUCCAUAUUUGUAGAAACCUUGGGAAAGUGCCAACCCAAAUGACUAUAUUGUUUAUGGCCAAUGAUUGGAUUGGAUUGAGGGAGAGAUGCAGUCAAUGCGAACAGUUGUAAGACGAAUGCAGUCUGAGUGCACUCAGAUACGAACCAUAUUAACAAACCUAGAAGAUCAAAUGAGCCAAUUAAUGAGCAUGAUAGGAGACAUCAAACGAAAAAUUGGUACGAACAGUCCAAACAAUACUGAAAAUAAUCCACAAAGAGAGGAAAGAAGCAAGUGAAGGUAAUAGUGCUCCAGUCAGGUAAAGUACUGAGUAGCCUAAUUAAUCCUACUCAAAAGCAAGACGAGGAGGAGGCGAAAGAUCCUUAAGACAAAAUCCCUCAAAAAUAUAAUGUUGAACCAAAGCCAAAAAAGGUAGUCAAGCUGGCAGUUGAGCCAGAAGCCAAACAAAACGUAGAACCUAUACUUAAAAAGGUACCAUUCCCUUCACGGUUAACAGACAAGUUGAAACAGGAUGAUGUGGAGUUUGUAAGUUUUCCAAACUUAUUUUAAAUCGCUUAACGCUAAUUUAACUCUCAUCGAACUAAUCGAAAAAGUUUCCAAGUAUGCUUAAUUUUUAAAGGAAAUAAUGGAUAGGCGUAAGAAAAUUAAAACGAAAGAGCAAGUAAACCUAGAUACAUUCUGUAGUGCGAUCAUUACCAAACAAAUACCCCUUAAAUUAAAUGCCCCAAGAGUUUUACUAUUCCAAUAGAGAUAGGAACAUUGAUUUCAGUAAGGCCCUAUGUGACCUAGGAGCCAAUAUUAAUUUAAUGUCUUUAUUGAUAUAUAAGAAACUCAGGUUAAGGGAGUUCAAGAACACACAUAUCACACUAUAGUUAGCUGAUAGAUCUUCAGUUCAACCGAAAGGGGUGCUCGAAGAUAUGUUGGUAAAGGUGCGUAAUUUUAUCAUCCUGGUCGAUUUCAUAAUUUUAGACUUCGGGGAAGACCAGAAGAUACCUAUUUUGCUAGGGAGACCCUUCUUAACCAUAUCUAGGUCCUCCAUCAAUUUAGAAAACAAUGAAUUAAUCAUGAAAAUCAAUGAUGAAACUGAAAAUUUUAAAUGUCACCAACAUAAUGAGGAAUGUAGAACAUAUUUAGGGAUAACAUAUUAUAAUAUAUAUGUAAAUUUCCCUAACAAUCUAGAUCAAGGAAGGGUAUUUUCUGUGAUCAUGCAGGUCGAAAGAUCAAGUACAGAGAAUAGGACAAAUAGAGUAAGGUGGAGUGGCACGAUGGACGCUGGACCAAUUCUGAUAGACAACCAAUAAAUGAAGUGUCUAUGAAUAGAAUAACAGAGCUGACGGACGAAUUCGACAGCAACACCUGAUCUUCCAUAUAUUAUUUUAAUUUUUUUGUAAAUUAUUGUAUUUUAAUAGACUUAAAUAUUAGUAAUUGGAUAGGAAUGAGCCUAAAUAGGUAGAUUAGGACUUAAUUUUAUUUAAAUUGAUUAGAAUUAGGAUAUUUAUGUACCUAGCACUUGAAAUUCAAGAGAAAAAGGCCAAAACAAGAUCAGUGUCGCAACACGACACCUUUGUGACCCAACGCUGAGUCUAGAAUAAAUUUUUUUUUAAAAUUAAGUCGAUGUCGUGACACGGGUACUCAAGUGUUGCAACAUUGAUGAAAAUAGCCCCAACUCCCAAAAUUUCAAGAUGUGUCGUGACAUUAGAAGACUUUCAGGGGUGUCGCGACACGAAACCCCUGUAUCACGAUAUCGUUGCGAAUUUUUACAAGGUUGACCUGACUCGUUGCGUAGCCUGAAAGUCAAAACCCUAUUUUUACCUAGUUUACUAACCUAAAACACUAAUUCUUUACAAACCAAAACACUAUUAGCACAAUUCUAAUACUCUUCUAACUUCAAAACACUUUAAACCUCUCUGAAACCCUUCCCAUCUUCAAACCUUAUUUCCCAUUCUUCCUUGUUCUUUUCUUCUUUGUACUACUAAUAUGAUUUCUUUUUUUCAGUUUUUUUCUCUUUUGUGCAAGUGUAAGGUCCACAUCAAUAAUGAAAUUGCAACAAAUUCUUGAAAAUAAUCACAAAUAUUCAAUAUUACGAGGUUAAGGGUUCAUCCUUGAACUUUAUUGUUACAUUGCAUUUUGCAUUUUUGAAACAUAUAGUUUGAUUAUUAGUUCAUCUAGCCAAAUAUAUUUGAAAAUGCCUCCUAGGAAGUUUAAAAGAACCAAAAAACAAGAGGCACUGGUGGUUACAAACCCCUCUAAAUUUUAAAACAUGAAUGUCAAAAUUUUUUUUCUAGAACUACAAUGAAGACAUUCAUCCAAGAAAGGGGUUUCGAGCCAUCGAUGGUCCUCUAUAAUGAAAUUUGGGUGCUAGUUCGGUAUCAUAAAUGGGAUUGAUUUUGCAUAACCCCAAAAGGACACAUUGUUAUCCCAGUUAUCCAAGACUUCAAUGCAUCUUUUAGGAUCAAAAGUCUAGGAGACCGUAUAAUGUCGUUUGGGAAACUGUAACGGUAAGGGGUACAGAGGUGUAUGUCAUCCCUCGAGAAAUUUUUAAGUUUUACAAUGUUCUAUAUUAUGAAACUGAUUUGUUGAUAGUGAUUAAUUCACAAAUGGAUUGAUAAAUAUGGAAUGUGGCCACGAGUUACUUGUUCUCGAACAAGUAAUUAAUCACAAACAUUUGUUGACAGUGAUCAUAUUAAUCAUUAAGAAGACACAAUGGUGACAAUAAGAUAAAAUAGGAUUGUAUUGAGUGAACGGAUUUAACUCAAAGGAAUCAGGGAUAUCAUAUGAGGGUAACACACAUAUGACGAGGUCAUUGGACAAAUCAGUUGGAUGAACUGCUUUCGUAAAGGGUAUACAAUAAGGAGUUUCCAAUCAUGGUACUUCUUGAGAACUAAUUCCAUGAGUAAGUAAUUUUGAAUUAUCGAAACGAUGCUUCUGGACAUAAUUGCAAUUACUAGAGCCUAAUUGUAUAUGUCUGAUUAGUCCUUCCACUAGCUCAACAAAAGCUCAAUAGGACUACAUUUGAAUUAGAAGAAAAUUCUACGACUUUGGAAAUAAUGUAGUUGAUUUAUUUUAUUUGAUGUGGAAUUAAAUUAGUCGGUCGUGAGAAUUGUUCAAACAUAAAAUUUGAUUAAAAAUUUUCUUGAAAAAUUAAAUUUGGAAAAUCUCAGUGAUUUUUUAGAAAAAUAAUUUUAAUAAAGUAAAAUUAAAUUAAUCAAAAUUAAUAUGAUAUUUUUAGAAAUUAAUUUUCAAGUCCAACAAUUGGCCCAAUAAGUAAUUGAACUUAAAAAUUGGACUUGAGAUCGAAAAUUAAGCUCAAGAACCCAAAAUCGAGAUCGAGACCAAAAAAUUGAUCGAACCUAGCCUAGUAUGUGAAACUAGGCCGACGGUCCAACCAGUAGCUAGACCGGACCGGUGAGUCAUCACUUGCUCGGAUUGAAUUGGGAGCAGCAGAACCGACUCAGAGUGCCAUAAGGCUGUCGUGCCUCCACCACCAGGCACUAUGGCGCUGAAGGUUGUAGGGGCAGCAUUCUGGUGGCCAAUGAAUGGUCCUUCGGCGGUUGAGUAGUGGAAGAAUUACACUCCUACUAGAACUCUAUCGGAUAAUUUAAUUUCAGAUUAACUAUUCCAAAAAUAAUAUUAUUUUAAUUACUUUAAUAUUAAAUUUAAUUUAAUACUUAUCUUAAUAGUUUUAAUAUUAAUUUAAUAGAUUUAAUAGUAAAGUUAAUCUAAUAUUUAUCUUGAUAAGUAUUAUAUUAUAUCAAUAUUAAAGUGAUUAAGUUUAAUCAUAAUUGAACUCUUUAAACUACCCCUAUAUAAAAAGAGUAUUGGGUCAUUAUUUUUUACAAAUUUGAAUUCAAGAGAAAGUUGUAGAGAGAAAAUCAUUUGAAGAAAUUAUUUUAAAAAAUUUCUAAAGAUAUUUUUCAAAUUUACAACUUGAUCCCAAAUUUUAGAGAAAUUGCAAAAGUACCCAUUGAUAAUUUUGUGAAAAAUUUUCUAAUUCGAAGUGAGUCCACACUCGGCAUACGUGAGCUUGAGGAUAGCGGAGAAGACUGCUUUGUCAAAGCUUUCAUCCUUGACGAAUUGAAGAGGUACAAGUUUGAUUAAGUGUUUAUUUCUUUAAAUAUCACAACCAAGCUCCAGUUUUGGAAAAACUUUUAAAACUUUGUUUUUUUUUCCUUAAACUUAUUUUCCGUUGUGUUUUCUAAAUUUGAUUUUUUCAACAAUUGGUAUCAGAGUCAAAUUGCGUUCUAUCAGAGCCAGAUUGCAUUCUAUCAAUAAGUAUAAAUAGGUAAUCAAAAUAGAUUUCUAUUUUUCUUUAAUGAUUCAAUUACAUAGAAAGUGACACUCUUUAGAUCUUAUGCAUGUUUUGAGUUACAUAUGGGAAUGGAUGUGAUAUUAUAUAUUUGUUAUAUAUUUGUUAUUUUUUCCCAACUUAUGGUUAUUAGGAAAUAGACCAUGAACUAUCAUAUCCACGUAGGACUAUUUUUUUUUUAAAUUCAUAGAACUCUCUUGAGCCAAAAACGGACAUAGGACUUAAAUGUAAUUUUUCCAAAAGGAGUCCAUGACGAGGAGAAGAUGGAGCAAUGGCGGUUAAAGUCCCAAGGAAUGCCUUGUGGUGAAAAAUUGUAUAAUUUUUGUUUUUCAUUUAUUUUCUAAAAAUAGAACGAUAGAAACCUUGUCUGACUAUUUUAUUUUAAUUACUCAUCUCAUUUUAUAUAUGUUUUAUAAUAUUUAUAUUAUGUUAUAUUAUAUUAUAAGUUUUAUAUAUAUGUAUGAGAUGAUCCACAGUUAAUUGAUUAAAAAAUAAGAAGUGUGGUAAUGAGAAUGUUCAUGUCUAGGAUUGGCUCUAGAAAGGAAAGACUUUUUUUUAAGUGGUCAAAUAUGACUCACCUCCCUUUCUUGGGACCCUAACUAGUGCACGGUUUACAUUCACUUCUUCAAUUUUUCCCUUAAAAGAAAACUGUGGAGAAUGAAAAUUAUUUUUUUAUGAUUGAUUGAUUCUUGUGAAUAAAUGAAUGUGAAUAUUUUUUCAUACCAUACCAUGCAUAUAUUGGAAGCAUGCCAUAUGUAUUAGGCAAUAAUACCACUAAGACUAUUGUAUGAUCCUUCUUGAAAUCUGGGAUAAAAACCUUGCAUGUUUUUAAAAUAUUGAGUGCGAGAGGUCCUUGAGCAAUACCUACGACCUAUAUUGAUGGUCCCUAAGUUAUAGCAUGAUAAAGUUUUGAUUCGGUUCCUACCCUGGUUGCACCCCAAGGUAAACUUUAUCAUAUGGGUUCAAUAGAUGAGAUUUUCUUUUAAUGACAACUAGUCAUACAUGACUCUCACUGAGAUUGUCCCAAGAUGACUCACAAAUGAAGGUAUGUUCAUGAUGGGUGUUGAGUCAAUGGUUACACACUCAAGAUCGUCUCUCAUUAAAUAGUUCCCCAAUAAAUUAUAUUUAAGCUAGACAUGAUGGUCAAACGUUAAACGGAAGUUGGUUCAUGUGGAGUCUUGAGAAUAAAGAAUAAGAAGUCAAAAGAUUCUAAAAAGAUCAAAUAUUUCUUCUACAACAUGAAAUGGCACUUCAGAUCAAACUACAAGGAGUAUAAGGAUUACCUAACUAAAAAGGGAAAAUGUAUGAGACUCUUUUUGGUUGAAGCUUGCUUAGUGGAAGAAUCAAUUGGCAAUUGGUUUGUUGAUUUUGGAGUCACUAUGUGUGUGUUUCUUUAUAGGGGUUCGGCAAAAUGAGAAGUCUACGUGACAAGGGCCUCUAAUUGUGAACUAGAAAUGGGAGCUAUGUUUCAUUCGAAGUAAUGGGAGAAGUUAUUUUGCAUUUUGAUAAUUUUAGGAAGAUUAUUUUAAAGGAUGUGUAUUAUGUGCCUCAUUUUAGGAGGAACUUAAUUUCUCUAGCAUGUUUAUUUAAUGAUGGUUAUUCUAUAAUAGACUGAUGGAAAACAAUCUCUAUUUUAUCAAACCAAAUAGCUACUCGAUGCUUGAAAUUGAAAUGGUGAAUAAGAAGCUUAAAACUUCUCACUCUAAUGAGGGGUACUUAUGGCACUUAAGACUUGGUCAUAUUAACCAAGAAAGAAUCACUAAACUCAUGAGAGAUGAUCCUUUAAGUAUGCUUAAGGAAGCUAGUGUUCCAUAAUGUGAAUCUUGCUUAGAAGGUAAAAUGACUAUGAGGUUUUUUAAUGUGAAAGGUAAAAAGGCCAAGCAACCUUUAAAACUUAUGCAUAUUGAUGUAUAUGGUCCCAUGAGUAUCAGUACCCGAGGAGAUUACAAUUAUUACGUGACUUUCAUCGAUGACUAUUCUCGAUAUGGAUAUGUGUAUCUAAUGCACCGCAAAAGUGAAACCUUUGAUAAAUUUUGAGAGUUUCGUGUGAAAGUGGAAAAGUAAUUAGGUUUAUCCAUAAAGAAUCUUUGGUCUAACUGAGGUGGGAAACACUUGUCCGACGAGUACUUAGGAUAUCUCACAAAGAAUGGAAUUUUGUCCAAGUUGACUAUGCCAAGCACUCCAUAGCAGAAUGACAUAGAUGAGAAAAGAAAUAGAACCUUUCUUGACAUGGUUCAUUCAAUGUUAAGCUAUUCACAACUCCCUACUUCCUUCUAGGAUAUGCAAUACAAAUGACUUUCCAUAUUCUAAAUUAUGUGUCAACCAAGUCUACCUAUAAGACACCUUAUGAAAUAUGGCAUGAAAAGAAUGCAUCAAUUACAAUGAGACCUUCUCUUCUAUUGACAUGCUCAAGACUAUCCACAUACUAUUAUUUAUUGCCACUACUCUCGAUUACAAGAUCUGGAAAAUGGAUGUUGAGACAGUAUUCUUGACUGACUAUCUUGAUGAGACCAUUUACAUGACUCAACCCAUUGGUUAUGUUGUCAAAGAAAAUGAGCAAAAAUUUUGCAAACUGCUAAGAUCCAUUUAUGGACUUAAGCAGACGUCCCAUUCAUAGAAUAAAAUAUUUGAUUAAACAAUCAAGACUUUUGGGUUUGAGCAAAACACUAAUGGACCUUGUGUUUAUAAGCGUAUAAAAGACAAAAAGGUGGUUUUCAUCGUUCUGUAUGUAGAUGAUAUUCUACUUAUUGAAAAUAAUGUAGGAGAAUUGUCAUCGGUUAAACUGUGGCUAUCUCAAUAGUUUAGCAUGAAGGACUCGGGUAAAGCUAGUUAUAUUUUUGAAAUUCGAAUCUUUAGGGAUUGAAAGAAUAAAAUGAUAGCUCUAUCACAAGCUUCAUACAUUGAUAAGGUACUGGAAUGGUUUGCAAUAACCGAUGCGAAGUUAGGUAUUCAACGGACUGCAUCGGGUUUUCAUCUUUCUUUUGAUGACUAUCCUAAGACAGUAGAAGAAAGAGAGCAUAUGAGUAAGGUUCCAUAUGCUUCAAUAGUUGGAAGCCUUAUGUAUGCAAUGUUUUGCACAUGUCCAGAUAUGUGUUUCGCCUUAGGAAUUGUAGAUAUCGUGAAAGUAGCUUCUGAAUAUAACUUUGUGGAUUUGUUUGCUAAGACUCUUGUAACUUAGAGUUUUAACAACCAUGUCGAGGAUAUGGGAAUAGAAAAUAUGACAUAUUUACUUCACUAAGGCAAGUGAGAGAUUGUUGGGAAAGGUGUCUAUAUUGUAGUAAACAUGUACUUAUUUUCAAUGUAUGUGAACGAUGAAUGAAUAAACAAAGUUUAUUUCAUAUUUCACUAUUAUGUCUUUUGUGUUUCUAUCUUUCAUGUUUUGCAUGCAUAUCGAAAUUGUGACAGGUGAAUAUUAGCUUAUUGAUUGUCCAAGUUUAAAUUGAUGAUAAGUAGCACUGCAAAAACGUUUAAAGUGCGAAAAAAGAUAAUUUACUUCAGUAGAUAGUCUAAACGAAUCUAUAAUCCCAUAAAAAAUCAAAGUGAGCAUUUGAUUCAAAUACUUAGAAGGAUUAUUAUUUCGUCCACAAUUCCAAUUCGAGAUAUGGCUAGUCUUGGCUAUCGAAGUAGUUGAUUCCAUAGGUAGAGGCAUAGAUGUACUCAUUGGAAGAAUGAUACAUUAGACUGAACCCAAGAUGAAUUAAUUCUGAAUCUAUUUGGUAAUUAAUUCACUUGAGGUGUUCAUGAUGUGAUUUACCUAAAUCCUGAGUUAGUCACAAAACAUGUGUAUCUAACUUAUGUGCUUUGAUAUAAGGAGAGAUUUGAGCUCUAAACAUGAUCGAUCCCAUAGCCAAUAUGUUGGGUACAUGACUUGUGUAUGGAUGGUUUUACUAGCAGUAAUGGAACUCAUAGCUCGAUUAAAGAGUUAACGAUAUUAUCUAAUUUUCAUUGAGUGGAUUGAUAAAUAUGAAACAUGGCCACGGGUUUCUUGUUCUCGAACAAGCAACUUUUCACAAUCAUUUGUUGACGGUGGUCAUAUUUAAUUAUUAAGAAGACAAAAUGGUGACAAUGAGAUAAAAUAAGAUUGUAUUAAGUGAAUGGAUUUAACUCAAAGAAAUCAAGGAUAUUAUAUGAGGGUAACACACACACACGAGGUCAUUGGAAAAAGCAAUUGGAUGAAUUGUUUUCGUAAAGAGUAUACAAUAAAGAUUUUUCAAUCAUGGUACUUCUUGUGGACUAACUCCAUGAUCAAGUAAUUGCAAUUUAUUGAAACAAUGCUUCUAGAUAUAAUUGUAAUUACUAGAGCCUAAUUGUAUAUGUCUAAUUGGCCCUUUCGCUAGCUCAAAGAAAAACUCGAUCGGACUGCAUUUGAAGCAAAAGAAAAUUCUACGACUUUGGAAAUAAUUUAAUUGAGUCGAUUUAUUCGAUGUGGAAUUAAAUUAGGCAGUCAUGAAAAUUGUUCAACUAGAGAAUUUGAAUAAAGAAUUUUGGAAAAUCUCAGUGAUAUUUGAGAAAACUAAUAUAAUAUUUCUAAAAAUUAAUUUUCAAGUCAAAUAAUUAGCCCAUUGGAAAUUGAACUUAAAACUUGGACCUGAGAUUGAAAAUUGGACCUGAGAACCCAAAAACAAGACCAAAACCCCAAAACUGGUCCAACCAAGGCUGGUAUGUGAAACUGGGUCAACAAUCCAAUAGGUGGUUGGACCAGAUCGAUCGAUUUGUCACUGGAUCGGACUGAACCAGCAGCAAUCGGACCUGCUUGGGGUGACAUCAGCAUGUCGCGCCUGUACCACGGGGCACUCUGGUGUGGACGGUUGCGGCGAUAGCAUUCCGAUGGCUAGUGGGUGGUCUUUGGCGGUUGAGUAGUGGAAGAAUUACACUUAUACUAGAACUCUAUCGAAUAAUUUGAUUUUAGAUUAACUAUUCCAAAAAUAAUAUUAUUUUAAUAGUUUUAAUAUUUAAUUUAAUUUAAUAAUUAUCUUUUAGAUAAAUAUUCUAUUAAUUUAAUGGAUUUAAUAUUAAAUUUAAUCUAAUAUUUAUCUAUUUAUCUCGAUAAGUAUUAUAUUAAUUUAAUAUUAAAGUGAUUAAGUUUAAUAAUAGUUAAACUCUCUGAACUCUCUUUAUAUAAAGCAAGCCUUAGGUAAUUAUUUUUCAUAAACUUGAAUUAAAGAGAAAGUUGUAGAAAGAAAAUUCUCUAAGGAAAUUAUUUUAGAAAAUUUCUAAAGAUAUUUUUUAUAUUUACAACUUGACCCCAAAGUUUAGUGAAACUACAAAAUUACCCCAGUAGUAAUUUUGUGAAAAAUUUUUAUUAAAAGCGAGCCCACACUCUGCAGACAUGAGCUUAAGAUAGCGGAGAAGACUACUCAGUUGAAAUGUUUAUCCUAGAUGAAUCGAAAAUGUACAAUUUUGAUUGAGUGUUUAUUACUUUAGAUAUCACAAUCAAGUUCUACUUUUGAAAAAAAAAUUUAAAACUCUAUUUUUCUUUUCCUUAAACUUAUUUUCCGUUGCGUUUUUUAAAUCCGAUUUUUCCAAAAGGUGAAAGUAAUAGUGCUUGGUUACUCGUCAAGGUUAAACCUACACGAAUCAGAUAAUAGUGUAACACCUCUCACCCAUAUUCAAUGCCAGAAUAGGGUUACGGAGCAUUACCAGACUUAUAACACAUAUAACCGUACUUUUCUCAUACAUUCAAUCAAUUCAUACAAUCAUCAUUCAUUCUCAAUCAAUGUGUCCCUUAUAAUAACCUAUGAGGCCUUAAACAUGCUUUAGGAGUGGUUCCGGACUAAAUCGAUAACUUAUAAAAAUUUCACGAAACUUUGAAAAUUUUUCACAAAAUAGAGAACACACGCCCGUGUGAGCAGGCCAUGUGUCUCGCACGACCACUAGACACGCCAGUGUCACCGGUCGUGUGAAAACAGGGGGUACAUACUGACUUGGGUCACACGGCCAACCACUUGCCCUUGUGUCUAGCCCGUGUGCCCUUCUAAGUGGCCACACACGCUCAUGUGCCAAGCCGUGUGCUAGGCCGUGCCAAACCUGCAGGGUAUAACGACUUAUGCGACACGGCCAAGUCACAUGUCCGUGUGCCAAUUAGGGGGUAUACUGACUUGUACCACGCGGCCAGUCACACGCCCGUAUGUGAGACCGUGUAACAUGGGGGGUAUACUGACUUGUGCACCAGGGGACACAUGGCGAUGUAACAUGACCGUGUGUCAUACACAGUUGAGACACACACUCGUGUCUCUGCCUGUGUGGACAAAAAAUAGGCUAUUUACAAAGCCAUUUUGCCACCCUAUUUUUACAUACCUAUACAAGCAUAAUUUGCAACAUUUAUAACUCAACAACCAAUCCACAACAUUUCAUACACAUUUUAUACCAAUUCGAUAUAGUAUUCAAAUACCUAAUUAAUAUCAUACAUUUUUCAUUCAUAUGCCUAUCACAUACCAAGACAACAUUGCAUAUUUUCAUUCCAUCUACUAUUUUCCAAAACAUACCAUAUUUGAAUACUUAUACACAAUCAAAACAUUGUACCAAGUUAAGCCAAAUCACAUGGCUUUAACAUAAACCACAAAAUGUACCAAACUCACCAUCUUAAGUAAGUAUAACUAUCAUCUUUAUAGAUAACCUAUACAUGUCAUAUUUACAUAUAUCCAUAAGUUCAAAGGUACCAAUCGACAACUGGAUAGUAUGAUGCGUAACUCUGACUUUAUCCGAAUCGAGCGAGCUAUCGAACCUUUAUAAAACAUAGAAAAGAAACAGAGUAAGCUUUAUAGCUUAGUAAGCCCGUAUAAUUUAGCAUUUAACUUACCAUUUACACACAAUCAAACAAUUAAACAAAGUAUAUCAAAUUCACUUGCCAAAUGCCUAUACACAAGCAUUCAUCAACAAGUUAGUCACAUAAGUAUAUGUAAUCAUCUAUUAUAUCAAUUUAAUACUCAAUACAUUGUAUCAUAUCAAAUUCAUAUAUCAUGUACAUCAUUUGUAACAUUUCACUCUCAAUCAUAUAAACAGUAAAUCAUUCGAUAAACAGUAAGUCAUCCAUUUAAACAGUACUUCAUCCAUAUAAUAGUAAUUCAUCCAUAUAACACAUAAAUUUUUCACAUAACCAAUAAUAAAAUUUAUACCUGUUGAACCUAUUAGAAUAUCGAUAGAUACAUGGGUAAUACACACUACGUGUAUUAAUCGAUAAUCCAUCAAUUCAUCAUCAUAUUCACUCUUUCGAGCUAUGAUCGGUAAGCUCCUCCUGAGCUGAUGGACAGUAAGCUCUAUUGAGCUGAAAUAGUAAGCUCUGACGAGCUGAGAACAAUAAGCUCUUACGAGCUGAUAUAUUAGUAAGCUCAUACGAGCUGAGGUGAGUCCGCAACAUAUGCAGGAUCUCAACCUAAACAGUAACCCUAAUAACAUGUCACUCGUAUCUUACGAAUUCCUACGGUUCAAAUGGGGCUCGAUAACCAUCAGACUAUAUCCAUAAGGCAUUUGUAUUUCAAGUAAAUCAUUUAUUCAAUUACAUACAUUCAUUUCAAAUAAUUAUAAGUAUUUAAAAGUUCGAUUCUAAUUAUACGAAGUUACCUCGUAUCGCUCAAAUAACAAAUAUCUGCUAAUCGUCAACCUUUCCUUUUUCCCGAUUUAGAUUCAAUCCUUACUUAUCUUGAUCUAUUUAUUAUCAAAAUCAGCUUAUUUAAUCAACUAUUUAUUCAAUUUAGUCUAAAACACACAUUAGGACUAUUUUACACAUUUUCCCCUAAACUUUCACAUUUUUACAAUUUAAUCCUUAUCACAUGAAAUUGCAAAUUCAUGCAAUUUAGUACAAUUUCAUGCUAGCCGAAUAAACUACAUGUUACUAGCAGCCCAUAUCUUCAAUUUAUUCACACUUUUACCCACAUAAUUUUACAUUUUCAUAAAUUAAUCCUUUUUUGACAUUUUUGUCAAAAAUCACUUUACAAAACUAGUAAAUCUAUCAAUAAACCUUCAUAAUCUAUCACAAUUCAUCAAAUUACUCAAGCAUUCAACAAUGGUAACAUGAUAAAUCUUUAACAAUUUUGAAAUCUAGGGUACGGGCUAGCUAGAAUAUGAAGCAAUGAUUACAAAAAUAUAGAAAUCAUGAAAAACCGAGCAAAAAUGGCACCUAAAAUUUUAGCUUUUCUUCUUACCAAAUUCGGCUAAGGAAGAUGAUGAUAAUAUAAAAUGGAUUUUGUUUUCUUUAUUUUAACAUUUAUUAACUAUUUUACCAUUUUAACCUUAAAAUUAAUACAAAAUUUCAUUUAUGCCAAACUAAUAACAUCCACUAACCAACUAAUAGUGUAACACCCCAAACCCGGCCUAGACGUUAUGGUCAAAUCUGGUGACGUCACAUGGAAUGGAAUUUGAAAAUCGAAUUUAUCAAGUUAAAGCUGUUUCUGUUUAUUAGCUUUUAUUUGUCUCUCAUCAAUUUCAAAACUUAUUUCCUCGCUAAUUUGAUUCGAUUGAAAAAAAACAUAUCUCGUAGCGGAAGCUUUUAAACCGUGAUGUUUGAAGAAAACCAUUUGCAGUUAGGAAAAAUGUUGAUUUUAAUUAAACCAAGUUUUCGUUGCAGUUCAAAAUCUCAUGAAAACAAUUAAAAAUCCAGAAUAAAUGCAAACUGACCAAAAGUCCCAAAAGUCCAAUUUACAUAAAAAAAUAACCCAGAAAAUAAAUAAAAGAUAAAUACCAUAUCUGAAAUUAAAGUAGUUCAUUAAUCAUGUGGUCACCGUCAAGUCCUCCGCCGCACCGAUCCGUCUAUGUGUGGGGAUUACCUGUACAGUUAAGACAAUGGGUGAAUUUAUGUGAACUCAGUGUAUAAUCCCCAUAGAAAACAUACAUACAGUCAAUCAUAACAAACCGUCAAAUGCAGUCUGGGCCUAAGCCCAUUACAGUUCCAAUAGAAAUUUGGGCCUUAGCUCAAUUCAAUUUCAGUAUUCAGUAUCAGUUAGCACUAGGGCCUUAGCCCAUCAAAAUAUCAGUCAUGCAUACAGUAACCAGUAACAGAUUCCUACCCACCAGCCUCUAUACACCAUCUCCAUCCAUCCCCACACUCCAUAUGGGGUUCAAAAACUCGCACCCAUCCCUACACUCCAAUUAGUACCGAAUGCAGCACAUGAUUAGUAGAUUUGUAGCUAAGCUACCAGAUAUUAGGCUUAAGAGCCUUUCAGUACACUUCCUAUGGUCAUCCCAACCUAAUGCAAUACAGCAUACAAUAAAUGACAUGCUAUUACAUAAUUAACAGUUUAUAUACAGUUCAGUAUACAUGCAUAGAAGCAUCAUGUUCAGUACAUACAUCAUGCAUUCAAUUUACGCAUAUAGAGGUCCAAGCAAUGCUUACUAACCCCAUAGUAGGUUCACAGUCGACUUGGGAGACCCGUGCAACCUUAAGAAACUUUUUUGUUAAAUGGACCCACACACUCAUGUGGCCUGCCCGUGUGUGCCCACACACCCGUGUGGCCCACACGGCCUAAUUUGGUCUUGGUCGUAUAGAUCACACGGUCUGGCCUAAAAUUCCACACGCCUAUGUGAACUACCCGUGUGGCCCACACGACCCAAAUCAGUCUUAGCCCGUGUGUCACACACGGCCUACUUGGCUAUCACAUGGUCGUGUCCUACGCGCAUGGCCUGGCCCCGUUGAUCACACGCCCGUACCCCAUCACACAGCCUACCAUACAGGUAACCACACGCCCGUGUGGCGUCGAUAGUGAGGUUUUUAGCUUUCAUCGAAACCUCAUUUUCUACAUUUUCAGGUACACACCUAGUAUCGAUUGAUGCUAAAACGAUCCCUGAGCAUUCCAGAACCUAAAAACUAGCAUUCCAACACCCAAUUUCAGUAACAUUAUCAAAGAUCAAACAGGAUUGUAACGACACGUUCAUCUAUUAACUAUUGAUAAUCAUACCUUUAAUCGAAACGAGAAUCCCACCCACUUAACUCGUCGAUUCCAGACCUUCUGCCCCUCGAAUAUGUCCUAAACACCAAAAGAGACCCUUAGCAAAACGAUUCGUCAAACAAAUGAAAACUGAACCUACCAAAACUUAUAUCAGAUGUGAAUGGAGAGUGGAAAAAAGGCAGAUUUUCAGUAACCGAAAGGAGGAAAAUGAAAAAAAAAGGACAAUGAGAAAGGGGAGAUGAUCAGUUUUUCUGCAGAGAGAAUUUUGGGAAGCUAAUAACUCAAAUCCCGCUACCUACUCUAUCUCAACCACCUACUACUCAGAUUUUCAGUGCAACUCAAACUCCCAGCCAUCAAACCGAGCAAAAAUAUUCCCCUUUGCCCAUGCAGGGAUUCAAACACCAGGCCUCCAGCAUACUAAUACUCCACUUAACCACUAGACCAGCAGGCCCAUUUUGACAUGUACUUACAAAUACUUAAACUUAAGCCUACUAAGCGGGGUUUAGGCUUUAUUUAGAUGAAUACCAAAAUUUAGCUAAAGACUUAGCUUGAACUUAGGGCCUCUUACACACACCCAGACACUUAACCAUUGAAUCAGAUACACAUUUGUGUCAAAAUUUUACAAAAGUCAAAAAAAAGUUUUUGGGGCGUUAAAAAUGGUAUAUUUAUCAAUUAAAGACCUUUAAUUUAAUGUUCCAUAACUAUUCAACACUUUUAGUUAAUAGAACACAAGUUUUAUGCUUUACGCGAUUUAGUCCUUUUUACCAAAUUGAGCAAUUAAACGAUAAAUUUUUUUACGAAAAUUUUACACCAACAUGAUAUCAUACUGUAAAAUUUAUAAUAAUAAUAAAAUAAUUAUUUUGACUUCAAAUUUUUUGUUCCAAAACCACUAUUCUGAUUUGACUAAAAAUGGGCUGUUACAAAUAGUGUCUGGUCAUUUAUUAGGGUUGAACGUACAUAACAAAUAGCUUGGUCAAGGCUUAAUAUACAUGUAUUCUCGAGUCUGCAACACAUUUUGGAGCUCGAAACUUACUAGAAAUAACCUGUAACCUCGUAUAUGAGACUUUCACUAAUUUCAUUAAGGUUUAAUCUCACAUUAUACCAUUUCGCAACAAUCUAUUUCAACCUGAUUCAAUUCUCAAUUUAGGUACUAAAUCAUAGUCAAUUCAAUAUAUCAAUAAAACAUUAAUGAACAUAAAGAUGAAGCUCAAUAGUAAUUUAAACUAUAUGAACUUACCAAGGCUAAUAGCAAAAGUAGAAGUGCCAAGGACUAGUCUGUAAAUUUCCUUUUUCCCCGAUUGUCAAUCGUCUUGUUUAAAUCUUGAUCUAUAAUAUAUAUUUAUUUCAAUUUAAUCACUAAAAUAUCAUAAUACAUCCUAUUACAAAUAUAUGUAAGCUCAAUUUUAUCUUUCAGUUAUUUCUUCAAGUUUUACAUGUUAUUCAAUUUAGUCCCUAAAAUCAAACUUAUCAUAACUUCCAAAUUUGGACUCCAAAUCUUAAACCAACUUCAAUAUAUCCAAUAACGGUCCUAUUAUAAAAAAUUACAGAAAUUAGAUGUCAAUUUCAAGAUAUUAACAAUUUAGUCUUUAUGUUCAAAACUAACAAUUUCCACUUCACAAACUUGGUUUUUUUUUCAUUUCUAAGAUUCAAAUCUAACAACUUAACAUUAAAAUCUUCAAAUAUCAACAAUGGUAACAUUUUGAAACAAUAGCAGUUUUAAAAGCAAACAUACAAAUUAACUAAAUGAGUUGCAACAAUCCCGAAAACAUAAAAUUUACGAGAAAUGGAUGAAAAAUGACCUACCAUGCAUAAAGCUAAAGUUGGCCAAAUGUUGAAGCUUUAUCAAUGGCUUCUCAAGGUUUCAUUCUUUCCACAAUGAAGAAGAACAAAAAGGAAAUGGAUGAUGAAUUUUAAUUUUAACUUAUAUAGAUAGUUUAUUAAUUAAUUAAUCCUAAUUUACUUAAUUAAUCAUAAUUUAUUAACAAUGGAUGAUAGUUGUCUACCACUAUACUAAAAAGGGUCAAAUUCCUCAAUUGGUCUUUCAGUUAAUUAAAAUUUCAUAACGAUUAACUUUUACCAUUUUUACAGUUUAAUCAUUGUACCUCAAUUAGUCACUAAUUCAGUAAAAUUACCUAUCCAAAAUUCAAUUCACCUAUAUAAUCACUCUAUAAAUAUUUAAUAAAAACAUUUUCAAGCUCAGUUUAUGAAAACGAGGCCUCGAUACCUUAUUUUCCAAAACCACUUGACUUUAGGACUGAAAUAUUAUAUCAAAAUUAUCAUAUCAAAAUGCACUAUAUCAUUUUACUGGACUCGUAAAUAUUAAAUAAUAAUAUUUACGGACUCACUAGUUGAAAUUGUGAUCCUGAAACCACUGUUUUUGACACCACUGAAAAAUGGGUUGUUACAUUCUAAGUUUGAAUAAUUUAUCUUUAAAUUGUAAGAAUGCUAAUUAGGUGGAUGGUAUAGGAUGUUACACUUAGUUUCUUUUAUUUCAAAUUUUAGAACCCAUAACGUAAGUAGACAAAUCCUUUAGCUAACCCUACUUUUAGGCACUCAAAUGCUUUCACACAUGCAUUUUAAUUCACAUUUUGAAUUAGGCCUUAUACACAUUUUCAGUGUUCAAUUUUUUCUUUCUCCAUAUCAUAGUCAUUUCUAUAUUUUUAUCUUGUAUCGACUCUUGAUGACAUUACGCAAGACUUUACAUUUUAACAUAUUUUUUUGCCAUAAUUGCUUUAUCCAGUCUUUCCAUGAUGUCAACAUGGUUCAUACAUGUGCAUACAUACCUUAUCAAGUUUUAAUUUCUUCCAUGAAACCUUAGUAUCAUUUUCAUAUAAUUGACUAACAAGACAUCACAUAGCAACUCAUAAUUUCUCUUUCACAUUUUAAUUUUAUUUUAUAUAACAUUAUACCAUUGAAUUUCAUAUUAUCAUUAACAUAAUUAAACACUUAAUUAUAUCAUCAGUUUCAUAGUUUCCUAAGCUUACUAACUUAGAAGAAAUUAGAGUAUCCAAGGUAUUUACCUUAAUUGAUGCUCUACAAUACUUAAUCAAGUUCCAUGUAUUCCAAUUCAUCAAUAAAGCUUGAAAACCGAUGUCCUCAUUUCCAUACAACAAAAAUACAUUAAAAGAUUAAUAUAAAUUUUUUCAAAACUUUUCUCAUAACAUUUCACAACAAGUAUCAAGCUAGUAGAGAUGUAGGAAGUCAUUUCUUAUCUUAUUGAAGCUUUCUCACUCUAGCUUCAACUCUCUUACUAAAAAUCCAUAAACCCUAGGCUGUCAUUGAAGAAAUUGAUAGACGAAUUGAGCUUAGGAGAUUGUUUCCAUGGACAUUUUGACAAAAUCUCAAGGUUGAAGGUGAAGCUUUUGAGAGAAAAUGAAAAAAAAAAGUGAGGAAAAUGAAAAAGGAGAAGAAAGAGACCUAUGAAGGUUGCUG
rnacentral:lncRNA from 1 species